UGCAAGUCGAACGGUGAAGCCCAGCUUGCUUGGUGGAUCAGUGGCGAACGGGUGAGUAACACGUGAGCAACCUGCCCUGGACUCUGGGAUAAGCGCUGGAAACGGCGUCUAAUACUGGAUAUGAGACGUGAUCGCAUGGUCGUGUUUGGAAAGAUUUUUCGGUCUGGGAUGGGCUCGCGGCCUAUCAGCUUGUUGGUGAGGUAAUGGCUCACCAAGGCGUCGACGGGUAGCCGGCCUGAGAGGGUGACCGGCCACACUGGGACUGAGACACGGCCCAGACUCCUACGGGAGGCAGCAGUGGGGAAUAUUGCACAAUGGGCGAAAGCCUGAUGCAGCAACGCCGCGUGAGGGAUGACGGCCUUCGGGUUGUAAACCUCUUUUAGCAGGGAAGAAGCGAAAGUGACGGUACCUGC
rnacentral:rRNA from 1 species